UUAAUUACUUUUUUAGUGUUCCUUUCUCAUGUGGGUAUUUGAAGAUCUGGUGUAUAUUUCCAUCAAACUCUUCCGUGUUGUUAUGAAGUAUCCGUUGAGGAUUCAGGAAAAUGUACCUGUCACGUGAAAGUUUUACUUUCUUUUGUGAAAUUAGAUAGCUGAUUUGUACAGCCUGGUUUACUGUAUGUAUGAACCACUUGUCUAACCCUUGGAAAGAGCUAUUUAGAUGUAUGAGAACUGUAAUCCUCCAGCUAAGCAGGAUUUAGAUAAAUGGAUUAUAGAGGCACAGAAGGAGUCGAUACCACUUACUAGGUUAAACUGUACUUUGUUACUAUUUGACAGAUAACAUAGUUCACAUUUUAUAACUUACGGUGUGUGCCAAAAAACAUUUUGACCCAUCAGGGUAGUAAUGGCUUAGAAAAAGUAGUUCCAGCCUCUAGGGAAAAUAAUGCACUUACCUUUGUACUCAUAAAUAUCAUUUAUAUGUAUUAUUCAUGGUCAUUGGCUGCCCUUAAGCAUAUAUACAGUACAUAUUUUAUCACUUUAUGAAAUCACAUCCAUCCUUUUAUCUCCUUCUUCUUCCUUUGAUUGUCACAAAUCCUAUUCAUCAAACUUCUUAGGUCUUAGCUAUUCAGAGUGCCAUCAAGGUAGUCAUUCAUUCACUCACUCAUUGAUUCAUUUUUUGGUUGAAUAAAUAUUUAUUGGCUAGUUGGUAGAUACUAGGCACUGAGGUUCCAAAGAUAAUCCGGCCUUAGAGAUACCUGAGAGUUUUUUUUAAUGUUUAUUUAUUUUUGAGAGAGAGAGAGGGGCAGAGAGUGAGCGGGGAAGGGGCAGAGAGAGAGAGGGAGACACAGAAUCUGAAGUAGGCUUCAUGCUGUGAGCGGUUAGCAAAGAGCCCGAUGCGGGGCUUGCACUUAACAAACCGUAGGAUCAGGACCUGAGCUGAAGUUGGACGCUUAACCGACUGAGCCUCCCAGGUGCCCCUCAUUCUCUAAUUAUCAUAGGAGGCUCCAAGAGGCUAAUAUGUAUAGGAUAGUAAGAGAAUCUUUGUGUAAUGUUUAUCUUAACAAUAGCUAUAUGUUAUGUUAGUCUAAUAGACCAUAUCAUAGUUGUCCGAUUUCCAGUUGUAGAGGAAAACAGUAGGUAUAGCCAAAAAAAAUAGAGGCAGGCUUUAGAUUCCCGUUUUACAGAAAUGCCAGUAAUUUGUUCAUUCUCCAUUCCCUACCACCUCGCACUACCUUGUUUUUUAAUUGCGUGUAUACCUAUGGUUGAAAAUGUGUUCAAAAACCACUUGAUUUUUAUGCUUGUGGUGUAAUUUUAUUUUAAAGAAAAACAGAAGGUUUUGGAAAUACCUCAGAUUUCCUGUCGCAAGACCAUAUGAGCCGCACUUUUAAUUCUAACUAAAGUGUUUCCCUUUGGACUCAUAUAUAUUGCCUGGGUUUAUUAGGCAGAGCCCCUUGGGGCCCCUAAGUAACCAAUAUAUAUGUAGCAUAUAGUAUUUUUCAUUUAAAAUAGUAAUAAUUUGAUAUUUCCUCACAGUAUAAUUCAAAACACCAGAAGUGUAUUUCACGUGGCUGAAUUAGCACUGGCAGCUGUAUUUCUGUGAGCUUUACAGACAAGGAAAAAUGUUCAUAUAUCUUUACCUGAGGGCCUAGAACAACUUGUUAAUCAGUUUGAUGAAGUUUAAUGCAAAGGCUUAGUGUUAAGGGGCAUAUUUUCCUCUUUCCUACUAAUAAUAAGCAUUAAAACAUAUGGAAACAAGAGUUAUUCACCCAGGAGAAAGGCCUUCUUAAAUAUAAGAAGCAGAUGUUAACAAAAAUUUCUGCACGCUUUGUAUGUCUUUCUCUUCGCUAGCCAUUUGUACCAAGUUAACAUUCUUGGUAUAAACAAUAGAAACCAACUUUGACUCUGCAGAAAAGGAAAAUUAUUGGGAGAAUAUUGGCUCUCAGGCAGAAUUGACGGGAAGGCUAAACAACCAGGCUCAGAAGGCAAGGACUGAGAGAGGUAAGGUACCUAGAACUUCAGCCCAGUCUCUGCCCCCAACGAGAGUCUAACUGGGACACACUGCUGGCCCUGCCGUUGUGCAAUGCCACGGACACGAGGAUGGUGUCAGAGCUCUCCCCUGAUUCUCUUGUUAGUCAGUUUGGAUGUAGGUUCCAGUUCAGAGCAUCUGACUGACUGACCUAGACCAGGGAAAAACCUCCCUCCCUCCCUCCAUCUUCUGUGGUGAGAAGCUGGCUCUGGCCCCCAACAAUCUCAGGACUGACAUAGGAAAGAUACUUAGAUGUCAGAUGUCAGGCAUCUUCAGAUGGCAAAUGCCCACAACCUAUAGGGAUGCUAAAUGAUCUGAAAUUAUUUAGUUGCUGUGUUUAGUAGGAAUUAUUUAUUUGUUAUCUUGAAGUUGGUAGGAGACUGGUUGGUGUUUUAAAACCUGUUGUCUGAGAGCCAGCAAAAAAGAAAAAGCAAGCAUAUUUGUAAGAAAAACGGGACUGAUUGGAUUUUGGUAGGUAGCGAUGGAGUAGAGGGAAAGAAUAUGGGGCAGUGGAUGUGGAAAAAGGAAGAAAUCAAGAAUGAUGCUCCGUUUUCUGGUUUGGAGUCUUCAGUUAAUGGAGGUGCCAUUGAUCGAGAAGGAGGACACAACAAGAAAGAUCACAAGUGUUGCAGGAGUGGAGAUAAGGUGAUCUCCAUUGUGGGCAUGUUCUCUUCAUUGUGCCCAUAAGACAUUCAAGAAAUGAAACAUAUAUACUGGGCAGAUAAAGGUUUGGAUAUAAAAUCCUGAAGCUGGACGAAAAAUAGGGAAUUAUGAAUCACAAGAUACGAAUAGAAGUUGAAUCCUAAGGAUUGGGUAAGAUUGCCCAGAGAAAACCGUAAAGCAGGAAAAGAGCAAGAUUUGGAACAUAAUGCAUCAUGGCUGUUUAAGAGAUAGACAAAGGUAGAGGAGCCCAUGAAGCAAGCUGAGAAAGUCGGACCCAAGUUGCAGAAGGAAAUGCAAAAUAGCAUUCAUCUUCUCUAGCAAGAUUUCAUAAAUUACAUGUUCUAGAACAGUGGUUUUUCAAACAUUAGUGUGUGUCAAAAUCACCUGGGUUGCUUGCUAAAACUUUGGUUUCCCACACCCACACCCACACCCAGAGAUUUCCACACAGCAAGGGCAGGGUAGUAGCCAUUUCUGCAUUUUUAAUAGUCUUCCAAGAUCUAACAUAGUUGGUGAUUCUUGAAAUAUACUUUGAGAAACAUCUUUCUAGGAGACAAUGUGAAAUGGUUGAAAAAACAAGGCUUUUUUCAGACUUAGGUUAGGGUCCUGGCUUUUAUAAUCUACUGGUUAUAUGGCCAUGAGCAAAUCAAUUAUUUUAAGAUUUGUUUUUCCAUCAGUGCUGGGGAUGUAAUAAAUAACUUCUUCCUCUCAGAAUUAUUUUGUGGUAUAGAUGAGAUAUGUUAUUAAAUUCCUGGCCUACAGAAGGAGCUCAGGAAGUGUGAGUUGUCUUUUGGACACUUAGCAAACCCAGAACACAGCUGUAAACCUAAAAGCCAGUGAAAAAGUAGAAGGAAAUUGCUAUCAUUAACCUCACGCAUUUUGUUUUGUAAGAGAUCAGAGCCGCCUGCUUUUUACCUUGAACCUACUGAAUUAGAAUUGUGUAAAAUUAAGUUACUGAUUUAAUAGAUUUUAUUAUCUAGUUUCUCCUGGCAGACUUCAGUUCUGUAGACAUUAAAUUUGAACAGCAUGAUAUGGGCAAGGUUAAAGUGUGAAAUAGAAGCUGAAGGAAAUUUGAUAGAGGGACAAAUACCUCAAAAAUCCUGAAGGCAUUAAUGUUAUAAAAGCUAGAUACUCAAAUAAUACUACUAAAUUGUCAAGAAAAUGUUAAAUUAUGUUUGAAAGAAUUGUUUGAGAAGUCAGGGAAGUAUAUCUUUCAGAAAGAUUUCCAUUAUAAUGACUAACAUUUUACAGAUGUUUGGCACUUAAAGGAAUAAGCUUGGGCUAUUUCGGAAGUUCCCAUAAAUGCAAUACUUAUUAGUCUUUUGCAGUUUUGGGUAAAUCAACUUAUAUGACUUAAUUGGCAUGUUACUGUUUUUAACACUUCGUCUCAAGUCAAGAAGUGUUCUUGAAACUAUCCUAGAAGGCGUUGUGGAAUUAAUCUAUAUAUAUAUUAUUAUGGAUUGCCAUAUAAUGCUAUGGUUUUCUCCUUUUUCUCUAUCUGGAAGAGAUGCUAAUGUGAAGAGAGAGGAGCAGAGUCUUAUCAAAGCCAUGACUACACCCAUUUCAUAUCUUGAGUUUUUUGUCCCACAUUGUCUGAUUAGAAACAUGGCUACUGGGGUGCCUGGGUGGCUCAGUCAGUUAAGUGUCCGACUUCGGCUCAGGUCAUGAUCUCAUGGCUGAUGGGUUCGAGCCCCGCAUCAGGCUCUGUGCUGACAGCUCAGAGCCUGGAGCCUGCUUUGGAUUCUGUAUCUCCCUCUCCCUCUCUCUCUGUCUCUCUCUGCCCCUUCCCCACUCGUACUCUGUCUCUCUGUCUCUUAAAAAAUAAACAUUAAAAAAAAAAAAAAAAAGAAA